UACGUAGGGUGCGAGCGUUGUCCGGAAUUAUUGGGCGUAAAGAGCUCGUAGGCGGUGUGUCGCGUCGGCCGUGAAAACCUGCAGCUUAACUGUGGGCUUGCGGUCGAUACUGGCAUCACUGGAGUUCGGCAGGGGAGACUGGAAUUCCUGGUGUAGCGGUGAAAUGCGCAGAUAUCAGGAGGAACACCGGUGGCGAAGGCGGCGUCCUGGACCAACACUGACACUGAUGAGCGAAAGCCAGGGGAGCAAACGGG
rnacentral:rRNA from 1 species